UACGUAGGGCGCAAGCGUUGUCCGGAAUUAUUGGGCGUAAAGAGCUCGUAGGCGGCUUGUCACGUCGGGUGUGAAAGCCCGGGGCUUAACCCCGGGUCUGCAUUCGAUACGGGCUGGCUAGAGUGUGGUAGGGGAGAUCGGAAUUCCUGGUGUAGCGGUGAAAUGCGCAGAUAUCAGGAGGAACACCGAUGGCGAAGGCAGGUCUCUGGGCCGAUACUGACGCUGAGGAGCGAAAGCGUGGGGAGCGAACAGG
rnacentral:rRNA from 1 species